rnacentral:rRNA from 1 species
CCUACGGGUGGCAGCAGUGGGGAAUAUUGGGCAAUGGGCGCAAGCCUGACCCAGCAACGCCGCGUGAAUGAAGAAGGCUCUCGGGUUGUAAACUUCUUUUAUCAGGGACGAAGCAAGUGACGGUACCUGAUGAAUAAGCCACGGCUAACUACGUGCCAGCAGCCGCGGUAAUACGUAGGUGGCAAGCGUUAUCCGGAUUUACUGGGUGUAAAGGGCGUGUAGGCGGGAAAGCAAGUCAGAUGUGAAAACCAGGGGCUCAACCUGUGGCCUGCAUUUGAAACUGUUUUUCUGGAGUACUGGAGAGGCAGGCGGAAUUCCUAGUGUAGCGGUGAAAUGCGUAGAUAUUAGGAGGAACACCAGUGGCGAAGGCGGUUUACUGGACAGCAACUGACGCUGAGGCGCGAAAGCGUGGGGAGCAAACAGGAUUAGAUACCCCUGUAGUC